rnacentral:lncRNA from 1 species
CAGAUCCCACCUUUGGGUGAAGUGGUGUCAAGCCUGAAUCAACAGUUCUGUCCUGGAAAGACCCAGCAGUCUUGUUGGGCAACUAACUGAGUAUGACAGGAGGCUGAGCAAAAUGCAUCUUGUGCAUGGAGGGGUGCCCGUAAGGGGGAAUUACAGUCAGUUGCCAAACUUAAACGUAAUGUACAAGUGCUGAAAAUGGAACAGGAAGUCUUCAGGCUUGCUUGGAGAGGAGGAAAAACAACCUCAGAACAAAGCUUUGCCAAGUCUAGAUGGGACCUGCAGCAAUGAGACUUAAAACUUCAACCUGUCAUGAUGUUAUGGUCAGCCAAAGAAAGGAGAACCUGUUUCUGGAGGAAAAGAUGUCUGUGUUACUGCCUAGGAAAAAUCCACAUGCUUGUCUGGAAUCUGCACUUGCUUGCAGGUCUCUGCAUGUACUGAGCAAGGCUUCUGGAAACAGUGAAAAUGCUCUUCCUGAGUCCGGCUACAGAGGAAGGCAAAACUCAUAGAUGCUUGCAGUGAUGAGUGUGUCUGAGACAGCCUUGUCUUACAYGUGGUUUUACACCUGGUGGGGGAGAAGUGCAAACCAAGUUGUCUGAAGAAUGUGAGCGUGCAACUGGAAAUGAGGAUGUCUGGCUUGGUGCAUACCACUGGGAGAGCUCAUGUGACGUUCUUGUACGUUUGCUUCUGCUUUUGCUUGCCUCAUAGCUGAGAGGUCAAGAACAAUUCAUCUGCCCUGAUCCUUCCACCAAAGGAGAGGUUGAAGCACUUAGCUGCUGCUUAUGUAUCUCUGUGCAACAGCUUCAUGUAAAUGUCAUGAGGAAAAAGUUUGAGAGCAAAAGAAUAGAUGCUGGUCUAGCUCUCCCUCUUUCAUUGACUCUGUGCAAGGCCAGGAGUUUGGAGAGCAGGCUACUCAAGGGUCAUGGUCUUGUUCUUCAUAUAAAGCACUGCAGCAUUUCCUCUGGCUCUACUAGCAAUGGGCUAUGGGACUGAGCAUGGAUUUUUACUUUUUAUUUUCUUAAAUAUUCUUACUUUCUAAGGUACAGAACAGACCUAUGAAAGUCUAAGAUCAGAGAUUGUUUUCAAGAUUGCUAUUGCAUUGGCAUCAUUUUUCAAGUCAUUGGGUGUCUCCCAGGUAUUGGCACUACACACUGGGUUUAUUGGGCUUGGGUCACUACAAUUACUAGAGGAAGAUAUUGCAGAGGUAUUAGACAAUAUGGACUCUAGCCAGCUGUUGGAAUAUUACAACAUGUGCUGUCUACAGUUUGCUUUCAUUAGUCUGUGGUGGUGGUGGUGAAGCUGUUCUGUCCCAGUUGUAUUCCAUGAUAAGCUUGCAGCUUUGUGGAAAUGCUGAUACAUGUGCUGCCAGUGUUGGUUACACAUGUUUUUUUGGCAAUUCUUCUCUGGCUGGGUUACAGGAGUUGACAUUCUUGGUGGCAGUGAAAUCUUGCUCCUGUUCAG